rnacentral:rRNA from 1 species
UACGGAGGGUGCAAGCGUUGUUCGGAUUUACUGGGCGUAAAGCGCGCGCAGGUGGGUGUGCAAGUCGGAAGUGAAAUCUCGAGGCUCAACCUCGAGGCUGCUCCCGAAACUGCUCGCCUAGGGACUGGUAGAGGCUGGUAGAAUUCCCGGUGUAGCGGUGGAAUGCGUAGAGAUCGGGAAGAAUACCUGUGGCGAAGGCGGCCAGCUGGGCCAGAUCCGACACUGAGGCGCGGAAAGCGUGGGGAGC